GAUGGAACGCAGCGAAAUGCGAUAAGUAAUGUGAAUUGCAGAAUUCCGUGAAUCAUCGAGUCUUUGAACGCACAUUGCGCCCCCUGGUAUUCCGGGGGGCAUGCCUGUCCGAGCGUCAUUGCUGCCCUCAAGCACGGCUUGUGUGUUGGGCCUCCGUCCUCCUCCCGGGGGACGGGCCCGAAAGGCAGCGGCGGCACCGCGUCCGGUCCUCGAGCGUAUGGGGCUUCGUCACCCGCUCUUGUAGGCCCGGCCGGCGCUUGCCGACACAUCAAUCUUUUUUCCAGGUUGACCUCGGAUCAGGUAGGGAUACCCGCUGAACUUAAGCAUAUCAAUAAGCGGAGGA
rnacentral:misc_RNA from 1 species